rnacentral:rRNA from 1 species
UUAAAUUGAAGAGUUUGAUCAUGGCUCAGAUUGAACGCUGGCGGCAGGCCUAACACAUGCAAGUCGAACGGUAGCACAGAGAGCUUGCUCUCGGGUGACGAGUGGCGGACGGGUGAGUAAUGUCUGGGAAACUGCCUGAUGGAGGGGGAUAACUACUGGAAACGGUGGCUAAUACCGCAUAAUGUCGCAAGACCAAAGAGGGGGACCUUCGGGCCUCUUGCCAUCAGAUGUGCCCAGAUGGGAUUAGCUAGUUGGUGAGGUAACGGCUCACCAAGGCGACGAUCCCUAGCUGGUCUGAGAGGAUGACCAG